rnacentral:pre_miRNA from 1 species
UUUUAAGUAUAAGUAUACUCCAUAAAAUAUUUGGGGCAUAUUUAUACUACAA